rnacentral:rRNA from 1 species
AGAGUUUGAUCCUGGCUCAGGAUGAACGCUGGCGGCGUGCCUAAUACAUGCAAGUCGAACGAAACUUCUUUAUCACCGAGUGCUUGCACUCACCGAUAAAGAGUUGAGUGGCGAACGGGUGAGUAACACGUGGGCAACCUGCCCAAAAGAGGGGGAUAACACUUGGAAACAGGUGCUAAUACCGCAUAACCAUAGUUACCGCAUGGUAACUAUGUAAAAGGUGGCUAUGCUACCGCUUUUGGAUGGGCCCGCGGCGCAUUAGCUAGUUGGUGGGGUAAAGGCUUACCAAGGCAAUGAUGCGUAGCCGAACUGAGAGGUUGAUCGGCCACAUUGGGACUGAGACACGGCCCAAACUCCUACGGGAGGCAGCAGUAGGGAAUCUUCCACAAUGGGCGAAAGCCUGAUGGAGCAACGCCGCGUGGGUGAAGAAGGUCUUCGGAUCGUAAAACCCUGUUGUUAGAGAAGAAAGUGCGUGAGAGUAACUGUUCACGUUUCGACGGUAUCUAACCAGAAAGCCACGGCUAACUACGUGCCAGCAGCCGCGGUAAUACGUAGGUGGCAAGCGUUAUCCGGAUUUAUUGGGCGUAAAGGGAACGCAGGCGGUCUUUUAAGUCUGAUGUGAAAGCCUUCGGCUUAACCGGAGUAGUGCAUUGGAAACUGGGAGACUUGAGUGCAGAAGAGGAGAGUGGAACUCCAUGUGUAGCGGUGAAAUGCGUAGAUAUAUGGAAGAACACCAGUGGCGAAAGCGGCUCUCUGGUCUGUAACUGACGCUGAGGUUCGAAAGCGUGGGUAGCAAACAGGAUUAGAUACCCUGGUAGUCCACGCCGUAAACGAUGAAUGCUAAGUGUUGGAGGGUUUCCGCCCUUCAGUGCUGCAGCUAACGCAAUAAGCAUUCCGCCUGGGGAGUACGACCGCAAGGUUGAAACUCAAAGGAAUUGACGGGGGCCCGCACAAGCGGUGGAGCAUGUGGUUUAAUUCGAAGCAACGCGAAGAACCUUACCAGGUCUUGACAUCUUUUGACAAUCCUAGAGAUAGGACUUUCCCUUCGGGGACAAAAUGACAGGUGGUGCAUGGUUGUCGUCAGCUCGUGUCGUGAGAUGUUGGGUUAAGUCCCGCAACGAGCGCAACCC